CUAGUUUGUGUACACAGAGAUAUUUAUAGUGGUCCCUUAGAAUCUUUUGUAUUUCUGUGGAAUCAGUUGUUGUUAUUUUUGUCACUUCUGAUUUCACUUAUUUGAGUCUUCUCUCUUUUUUUCUUUGUUAAUCUGGCUAGUGGCCUAUCAAUCUUGUUUAUCCUUUCAAAAGCCAAUUUUUCAUUUCAUUGAUUAUUUGUAUAUUGUUUUGGUCUCAACCUGAUAAUCAACAUCAAAAUUGUCAAUUUGACCAAAACACAAUACAUGAAUAUGGUCCCCACCUUCUCUACAUCCCUUUCCUACUUGUAACUCCUCUCCCUAUGCCUCUUUUUCUUACUCAAAGUCCAACAAGAAUAGAUAUCUGAUAUCCUACUUUAGCUUAUUUUAACUUUCAUUAUACCUCAUUACCAUAUUAUUAUAAUUAAUAACUAAAAUAGGGUAAUACUAGCUGCUGUAACUAAUGAACUCACAAAUACAUGUCUCAAAUCCAGCAUAGGCAUACCUAAAAGAUAUUUCAGGCUUGGUUCCAGAACACAGCAAUAAAAUAAGUCACACACAGUUUUUAGUUUCCCAGUGCACAAAAUAGUUAUGCUUACAUUAUU
rnacentral:lncRNA from 1 species